CCUACGGGAGGCAGCAGUAAGGAAUAUUGGUCAAUGGACGCAAGUCUGAACCAGCCAUGCCGCGUGAAGGAUGAAGGUCCUCUGGAUUGUAAACUUCUUUUAUAGGGGACGAAAAAAGAGAAUUCUUUCUCACUUGACGGUACCCUAGGAAUAAGCACCGGCUAACUCCGUGCCAGCAGCCGCGGUAAUACGGAGGGUGCAAGCGUUAUCCGGAUUUACUGGGUUUAAAGGGUGCGUAGGUGGGUCUGUAAGUCAGUGGUGAAAUCUCCGGGCUUAACCCGGAAACUGCCAUUGAUACUAUAGAUCUUGAAUACUCUGGAGGUAAGCGGAAUAUGUCAUGUAGCGGUGAAAUGCUUAGAUAUGACAUAGAACACCAAUUGCGAAGGCAGCUUACUACGGGGUUAUUGACACUGAGGCACGAAAGCGUGGGGAUCAAACAGGAUUAGAUACCCUGGUAGUCCACGCCCUAAACGAUGGAUACUCGACAUCAGCGAUACACUGUUGGUGUCUGNGNGAGANAUAGUAUCCACCGNGGAGAGAGCGCGAGAGUUAGAACGUACAAUUAGUAAGUUAGACGGCGNGAGACGNGCCGACGGACGACGACGAGGGAGGAGG
rnacentral:rRNA from 1 species